rnacentral:lncRNA from 1 species
AUUUUACUAAAAAUGUUGCUAAAGCAACUUUCACAUUGACUCAGUAUUUACAUUUUUGUUCAGGUUUCAUUUCUUUUACAUUUAAAAUUAAUUUCAAAUUGGAUCAAGAUACUCACAAGAAAACCUCAAAAAUGCAUUUAAUUUGAAUGUUUCCUACUCGAGAAACCUGAGCGGCUGAGAGAGCACAUUUUUAAUCAAGUUUUGCCUGGUCAAAGCAACAACAGACAAGUUCCACCGUGAUGCUGUGCAGAUUUCUAACUCUUUAAGGAACAACCCCUUUGGGAUGACCAUCGAAGGAGGAGUUUUCUCACUGGAUUCCCAUAAAUGUCCACGUUGAAAGUUAUGACAAGAAAAGGGCCUGUAAUCGGGGAAAGUUCUCAAAGGGAAACUGAUUCGCUGAGGUGCUCGAUGAAACCCUUUUGUUUUUCCCACAUGACACAUAAAUACUCGUAACUGCCACUGGUCAGCCGGCAGCUUCUGUUCCACCUCUGAGCUUCAGCUGUUCUGUUAAUUGAAUCAUUAGGGAUGAGCAUGGGGAACACGGACUGAAGGUUGAGACAAUGCCACCAUAAUCAUUAUGAGUGAUUGCAGAGUGUCAGAGGCAGAGGCAGAGGCAGACAAAAAUAAAAACAAAAGGGGCCAAGGAAGCCUUUUAGAUCAAUUUAAAUAAGUCACAGAGCACAGCUGGCCAGCAGAGACAGACGCAACUCAUGUAACUCCACAGUUGAUAGACUCUCUCCGACAAGACUCAUCCUCAUCCCUUUGUAAUCCCCGACAGUUGGGUGUGCAGCCGUGGCAAGGGUUUGUCUAAAACGGGAACCACUUGAGAGGCGAGUGUGCAGAGUGGCGGGGAGGAUGUGACUUGAGGAUUUUCCAAACUGAUACACACUCGAGUGCCCCUAGCCCCCUUCGCACGGGUCAAUAACUUUCCUUAGCCGAGUGUCAUUUCCAUGAUAUUAAUUCUGCGAGUGCACAAGGUCGUGGGCUGAAAACAGAAUGGAAAUGGAAGACGUUUAAGCUAGAAACAGAAACGAGCUGUAAGCUAAAUGGAAGAUCUAUUCGAUUUCCCUAUUCUAAACUUUCCAUUCACAACUUUCCUCACCUUCAGAAUGAUGAGCCUCAACAGGAACUUGCUUCAUUUCAUAUUGUGUCUCAAGGGAGCAGCUGCUGCUGCUCGACUUAGUUUGAGUUGGAGAGUCUCACAAUUGCUGGUACGUCGCCCAGGUUGCAGUCGUGUCGGCUUACUUGGCUGCGGCGGGAUAUCAUGUCAACGCUUUGACUGGCAGUUAACUUGCCCUUGUCGCCUUGUUUUAUCCCGUCUGCAACAUUUAAAAGGCUUAAAACUUUAAUUAAAAGGAGUGAACCCCGAGACUUGGCACAGCUGUGCCUGCUCUCCUGUUCCUGCUGUUAUGCAUUUGAUCUAUGCGCUGACAGGACACAGGAUACAGGACGAAGGUUCCCACUGUGUUCUGCGAAGUUGCUGCGGAGUGCAUUCCGUAAUCGGAUACUUUUAUUGCUGAAAGGAUAAACCACAAAAUGCUUUGUAUGGCCAUCACAUAAUACAUUUU